rnacentral:rRNA from 1 species
GAUGAACGCUAGCGACAGGCUUAACACAUGCAAGUCGAGGGGCAGCACAGGUAGCAAUACCGGGUGGCGACCGGCGCACGGGUGAGUAACGCGUAUGCAACUUACCUAUCAGAGGGGGAUAACCCGGCGAAAGUCGGACUAAUACCGCAUGAAGCAGGGGCCCCGCAUGGGGAUAUUUGCUAAAGAUUCAUCGCUGAUAGAUAGGCAUGCGUUCCAUUAGGCAGUUGGCGGGGUAACGGCCCACCAAACCGACGAUGGAUAGGGGUUCUGAGAGGAAGGUCCCCCACAUUGGUACUGAGACACGGACCAAACUCCUACGGGAGGCAGCAGUGAGGAAUAUUGGUCAAUGGGCGUAAGCCCGAACCAGCCAAGUCGCGUGAGGGAUGAAGGUUCUAUGGAUCGUAAACCUCUUUUAUAAGGGAAUAAAGUGCGGGACGUGUCCCGUUUUGUAUGUACCUUAUGAAUAAGGAUCGGCUAACUCCGUGCCAGCAGCCGCGGUAAUACGGAGGAUCCGAGCGUUAUCCGGAUUUAUUGGGUUUAAAGGGUGCGUAGGCGGCCUUUUAAGUCAGCGGUGAAAGUCUGUGGCUCAACCAUAGAAUUGCCGUUGAAACUGGGGGGCUUGAGUAUGUUUGAGGCAGGCGGAAUGCGUGGUGUAGCGGUGAAAUGCUUAGAUAUCACGCAGAACCCCGAUUGCGAAGGCAGCCUGCCAAGCCAUGACUGACGCUGAUGCACGAAAGCGUGGGGAUCAAACAGGACUAGAUACCCUGGUAGUCCACGCAGUAAACGAUGAUCACUAGCUGUUUGCGAUACACAGUAAGCGGCACAGCGAAAGCGUUAAGUGAUCCACCUGGGGAGUACGCCGGCAACGGUGAAACUCAAAGGAAUUGACGGGGGCCCGCACAAGCGGAGGAACAUGUGGUUUAAUUCGAUGAUACGCGAGGAACCUUACCCGGGUUUGAACGCAUUCGGACCGAGGUGGAAACACCUUUUCUAGCAAUAGCCGUUUGCGAGGUGCUGCAUGGUUGUCGUCAGCUCGUGCCGUGAGGUGUCGGCUUAAGUGCCAUAACGAGCGCAACCCUUGCCACUAGUUACUAACAGGUAAAGCUGAGGACUCUGGUGGGACUGCCAGCGUAAGCUGCGAGGAAGGCGGGGAUGACGUCAAAUCAGCACGGCCCUUACAUCCGGGGCGACACACGUGUUACAAUGGCGUGGACAAAGGGAUGCCACCUGGCGACAGGGAGCGAAUCCCCAAACCACGUCUCAGUUCGGAUCGGAGUCUGCAACCCGACUCCGUGAAGCUGGAUUCGCUAGUAAUCGCGCAUCAGCCAUGGCGCGGUGAAUACGUUCCCGGGCCU